AAAUACAAAAAUAGUAGAAGAAAAAAUCUGAAACCUGCUGGGUCUCAGACUCUCACUCAUCAUACAAUUCGCUGAAGUCCAGUCCCUUCGUAAAGUGUAGUCAAUACUUAUUUGAUUUUGAGCCAUGGUUCUGCUCAGCCUAGCGCCUCGUAUUCAAUGAGCCAAUAAGCCACUUGCGACGGUCUACUUGUGCGGCGCGUUGAAACGAUUCCUGGAUGUCUGGGACGAAGCAGAGGCACGUCCGCUGUGCGAUCCCAGGUUGCUUGGAAAAGCAGAGAUCGCUGUACAAUCUCCCGAAAGACCAAUCAACAAGGAGAAAUUGGUUGGAAUUUAUCUUUAACUAUAAUGUUCCAGAUACGUUCAGCCCAUACAUGUUGGUUUGUUGCCAGCACUUCGAGUCAAGUUGUUUUGCAAACGAGGCCCAGUACAACGCAGGAUUUGCAUCAAAGUUACUGCUUCUACCUGGAGCUAUUCCUACUGUAGACCUACGAUGUCCAUCAGAAAAUAAACUAUCUACGAGCGCUCCCUCACAGCUGCCUGCAUCCAGGCGUGUUGCCUGCCAAACUGACCCCGUCGGAGGUAAAUCAACAGGUACUCAGCUGUCCCAGAGAACACUACGGCCUCAUUUCAGAAGUAUAGGUACCCAAACUAUACCAAGGAUAGGCCCUUAUCUGACCUCAACAUCAGCCAAGGCUACGAGACCAGCCAGGAAACCGCGUAUUGUUGUCAAGGAGGAGGAGGAGAGUUCUAUAGAGUUCCCUGAGCUGCAUGAUUCUUCUUACAAUCCUGUGGUUUCUGGGCCUUCCUUGUCAUCUUCUCCAAGGUCCUUGUGAGUUCAUUUUUUAACCCUAAUGUGAAGUAGUAUUUUUUAAUUUAUAACUUGCAUGGAAGGAUAGUUGAAAUCCAUACAUUGACUACCAAAUUUCCUCAACGAAACUGAAUCCUUUAGAUGGUCAUUGUCAAGAGGAUUUAUACAACAGACUUGAAAAGAGAGUCACCUAUGGAAGAUGCACUUUUAAUGAUCCAUUUGGGGAAAUUAGUCCUCUGCAUGUAACACAUCCUAUCUAGCUAUGAGCAGUGACACACAUGGGAGUGCCUGAGAGACAACUCCAGUUUAUAGUGCCUUUGCCUUGCUGAUGGUAGGAGUAUUACCUUCAUGCUUUCGGUAAGAGGUGACCAGAGCGCCUGUAGGAGACCUGGGUGAACACGAAGAAUACAAAGACCUCGAACACAGAACUUCCAUCCAUGGGCGUCUUCAAACCCAUAUCCUUCUUGCUCUGAAAUAGUAGGGAGUAACCACUGAGCAACUGAUUAUUAUUUAUUUUUAGAUGGAAGAAUGUAUCUGUCCUAUACACUGUGUGUAGCAUAUAUAAAUAUAGUCUCUACAAAAACACUUGUAAAGAGACUGAGUAAUGCGCUUGUUGUCAUGAAAGCAAUGUGCUGCUCUGAGAAAUUGAGCCAUUUAAAAAAUGGUUUCUCAAAAGUAGCACGCACCACUGUGUCUGUAAGUGCUAAGACACACACAGCCUAAAAGUAUUCUCACACAAUUGUUUGAAUAGAAAAUGUCAAGGCUGCAUAAAUCAACAGGGUCUUUGUGCACAUGCAUUUGAAUGUACAAUUUAAAAUGAAGGCCGUCCCUUAGGGUCAUUGCAUUAAGUGGAAACUGAACAUUAUGUUGUUUUAUUCUUUUUUUUCUUUGACUAAACGAGGUGGCUACCUGUUACGUUGAAUUCCAGUGAAGUUUUUUGUCUCAAAUUCAUUAUUUAUAGGAAUUUAUAUCCUUGACAAGAAAACAGGACAUACUUCAGUGUUGAUGCUUCAACACCUUUUCAACUUCGGAGUGCCGCUGUCGUUUACUCUGUCAAGGGAGGUUGUUAAUGAUCCAUCAAAUUAAUUAAACAUCUCCUCCGGA